rnacentral:rRNA from 1 species
AUGAACAAAGCCGAGGAGGGUUUUCUGCUUGUUAAGCUUAAUGAGUUUAACAAGUCAAGCCUUCAAGAGUACGAGUUUAACGAGCUGAGCAGCUUGUUAAUCCACCCUUACUCUCGGCUGCAACAAUGGUACAAACACAACAAUUUUAUUCUACACAUAUCAUGUAGGUUCACGAGAUCUUUAGAUGGAUUUGGUGCGUCGCGUGACACGCGCAGAAAGCGGCUUCUUCAUCACCUUGAAGAAGGAAUCCAGCUCCGUGAGGUCAAUGGCGAUGGUGCCAGUCGGCGGCGCCCACUCGAACUCGCGCACGAGCGCCGCCAAGAAGCACUUCAUGUUCACCAUCGCCAUGCCCACGCCAGGGCAGAACCUAUGCCCGGCGCCAAAUGGCAUCAUCCUUAUCUGCUUGGGCCCCGGCAACGGGCCGAUGCCCUCCCCGUCGCCGCCGGUCAGGAACCUCUCCGGAAGAAACUCGUCGGGAUCCUUCCAUAUCUUGCUGUCCCUACCAAUGUCCCCUGCAGAGAAAUUCACGUAAAAGUCGCCGGCCGGCGGCGGCCCGGCCAUUCCUCCGACCAGCACCCCGACGGAAUCGGCAUGGACAUGGCGUGGGAUGACCGGCAGCGGCGGGUGCAUGCGUAG